GACAGAGGGUGCAAACGUUGUUCGGAAUUACUGGGCGUAAAGCGCGUGUAGGCGGCCAUCUAAGUCGGGCGUGAAAUCCCACGGCUCAACCGUGGAAGUGCACUCGAAACUGGAUGGCUAGAGUCCUGGAGAGGAAGGUGGAAUGCUUGGUGUAGAGGUGAAAUUCGUAGAUAUCAAGCGGAACACCAGUGGCGAAGGCGGCCUUCUGGACAGUGACUGACGCUGAGGCGCGACAGCGUGGGGAGCAAACAGG
rnacentral:rRNA from 1 species